rnacentral:rRNA from 1 species
AGAGUUUGAUCCUGGCUCAGGACGAACGCUGGCGGCACGCUUAACACAUGCAAGUCGAACGAGAGAAGAGGAGCUUGCUUUUCUGAUCUAGUGGCGGACGGGUGAGUAACACGUGAGCAAUCUGCCUUUCAGAGGGGGAUACCGAUUGGAAACGAUCGUUAAUACCGCAUAACAUAAUUGAACCGCAUGAUUUGAUUAUCAAAGGUUUAUCGCUGAAAGAUGAGCUCGCGUCUGAUUAGCUAGUUGGUAAGGUAACGGCUUACCAAGGCGACGAUCAGUAGCCGGACUGAGAGGUUGAUCGGCCACAUUGGGACUGAGACACGGCCCAGACUCCUACGGGAGGCAGCAGUGGGGAAUAUUGCACAAUGGAGGAAACUCUGAUGCAGCGAUGCCGCGUGAGGGAAGAAGGUUUAGGAUUGUAAACCUCUGUCUUCAGGGACGAAAAAAGACGGUACCUGAGGAGGAAGCUCCGGCUAACUACGUGCCAGCAGCCGCGGUAAUACGUAGGGAGCGAGCGUUGUCCGGAAUUACUGGGUGUAAAGGGAGCGUAGGCGGGAUCGCAAGUCAGAUGUGAAAACUAUGGGCUUAACCCAUAAACUGCAUUUGAAACUGUGGUUCUUGAGUGAAGUAGAGGUAAGCGGAAUUCCUAGUGUAGCGGUGAAAUGCGUAGAUAUUAGGAGGAACAUCAGUGGCGAAGGCGGCUUACUGGGCUUUAACUGACGCUGAGGCUCGAAAGCGUGGGGAGCAAACAGGAUUAGAUACCCUGGUAGUCCACGCCGUAAACGAUGAUUACUAGGUGUGGGGGGACUGACCCCUUCCGUGCCGCAGCAAACGCAAUAAGUAAUCCACCUGGGGAGUACGACCGCAAGGUUGAAACUCAAAGGAAUUGACGGGGGCCCGCACAAGCAGUGGAGUAUGUGGAUUAAUUCGAAGCAACGCGAAGAACCUUACCAGGUCUUGACAUCGUAUGCAUAGCUCAGAGAUGAGUGAAAUCUCUUCGGAGACAUAUAGACAGGUGGUGCAUGGUUGUCGUCAGCUCGUGUCGUGAGAUGUUGGGUUAAGUCCCGCAACGAGCGCAACCCUUACUGUUAGUUGCUACGCAAGAGCACUCUAGCAGGACUGCCGUUGACAAAACGGAGGAAGGUGGGGAUGACGUCAAAUCAUCAUGCCCCUUAUGACCUGGGCCUCACACGUACUACAAUGGCUGUCAACAGAGGGAAGCAAAGCCGCGAGGUGGAGCGAACCCCUAAAAGCAGUCUUAGUUCGGAUUGUAGGCUGCAACCCGCCUACAUGAAGUCGGAAUUGCUAGUAAUCGCAGAUCAGCAUGCUGCGGUGAAUACGUUCCCUGGCCUUGUACACACCGCCCGUCACGCCAUGGGAGUCGGUAACACCCGAAGCCUGUAGUCUAACCGCAAGGAGGACGCAGUCGAAGGUGGGAUUGAUGACUGGGGUGAAGUCGUAACGAGGUA